rnacentral:rRNA from 1 species
CUGAGAGGGUGACCGGCCACACUGGGACUGAGACACGGCCCAGACUCCUACGGGAGGCAGCAGUGGGGAAUAUUGCACAAUGGGCGAAAGCCUGAUGCAGCGACGCCGCGUGAGGGAUGACGGCCUUCGGGUUGUAAACCUCUUUCAGCAGGGACGAAGCGCAAGUGACGGUACCUGCAGAAGAAGCACCGGCCAACUACGUGCCAGCAGCCGCGGUAAUACGUAGGGUGCGAGCGUUGUCCGGAAUUACUGGGCGUAAAGAGUUCGUAGGCGGUUUGUCGCGUCGUCUGUGAAAACCCACCGCUCAACGGUGGGCCUGCAGGCGAUACGGGCAGACUUGAGUACUGCAGGGGAGACUGGAAUUCCUGGUGUAGCGGUGAAAUGCGCAGAUAUCAGGAGGAACACCGGUGGCGAAGGCGGGUCUCUGGGCAGUAACUGACGCUGAGGAACGAAAGCGUGGGUAGCAAACAGGAUUAGAUACCCUGGUAGUCCACGCCGUAAACGGUGGGC